AUUGAACGCUGGCGGCAUGCCUUACACAUGCAAGUCGAACGGCAGCACGGGUGCUUGCACCUGGUGGCGAGUGGCGAACGGGUGAGUAAUACAUCGGAACAUGUCCUGUAGUGGGGGAUAGCCCGGCGAAAGCCGGAUUAAUACCGCAUACGAUCUACGGAUGAAAGCGGGGGCCCUUCGGGCCUCGCGCUAUAGGGUUGGCCGAUAGCUGAUUAGCUAGUUGGUGGGGUAAAGGCCUACCAAGGCGACGAUCAGUAGCUGGUCUGAGAGGACGACCAGCCACACUGGAACUGAGACACGGCCCAGACUCCUACGGGAGGCAGCAGUGGGGAAUUUUGGACAAUGGGCGAAAGCCUGAUCCAGCAAUGCCGCGUGUGUGAAGAAGGCCUUCGGGUUGUAAAGCACUUUUGUCCGGAAAGAAAUCCUUGGCUCUAAUACAGUCGGGGGAUGACGGUACCGGAAGAAUAAGCACCGGCUAACUACGUG
rnacentral:rRNA from 1 species